AAUAGAUACCCCGGUAGUCCACGCCGUAAACGAUGAGUGCUAAGUGUUAGAGGGUUUCCGCCCUUUAGUGCUGCAGCUAACGCAUUAAGCACUCCGCCUGGGGAGUACGGCCGCAAGGCUGAAACUCAAAGGAAUUGACGGGGGCCCGCACAAGCGGUGGAGCAUGUGGUUUAAUUCGAAGCAACGCGAAGAACCUUACCAGGUCUUGACAUCCUCUGCCAACCCUAGAGAUAGGGCGUUCCCCUUCGGGGGACAGAGUGACAGGUGGUGCAUGGUUGUCGUCAGCUCGUGUCGUGAGAUGUUGGGUUAAGUCCCGCAACGAGCGCAACCCUUGAUCUUAGUUGCCAGCAUUCAGUUGGGCACUCUAAGGUGACUGCCGGUGACAAACCGGAGGAAGGUGGGGAUGACGUCAAAUCAUCAUGCCCCUUAUGACCUGGGCUACACACGUGCUACAAUGGAUGGUACAAAGAGCUGUGAACCCGCGAGGGUAAGCCAAUCUCAUAAAGCCAUUCUCAGUUCGGA
rnacentral:rRNA from 1 species